rnacentral:rRNA from 1 species
UGUAUAAGAGACAGCAGUACCGCGGGAAUACAGAGGGUGCGAGCGUUAAUCGGAUUUACUGGGCGUAAAGCGUGCGUAGGCGGCUUCUUAAGUCGGAUGUGAAAUCCCUGAGCUUAACUUAGGAAUUGCAUUCGAUACUGGGAAGCUAGAGUAUGGGAGAGGAUGGUAGAAUUCCAGGUGUAGCGGUGAAAUGCGUAGAGAUCUGGAGGAAUACCGAUGGCGAAGGCAGCCAUCUGGCCUAAUACUGACGCUGAGGUACGAAAGCAUGGGGAGCAAACAGGAUUAGAUACCCGCGUAGUCCCUGUCUCUUAUACA